rnacentral:antisense_RNA from 1 species
GUAACAAUCAGGGCAUUUUAAGUUUCACAGGCCGUCAAACUUUUUCUAUCUGAUUAUUACACUGCUGCUUUUUUCUUAUUAACUCCUAUGUAUGUUUGUAUCCGCCCAGUCAAUUUUUCGGCUGGGCUUUUUUUC